rnacentral:rRNA from 1 species
GACGAACGCUGGCGGCGUGCUUAACACAUGCAAGUCGAACGGAAAGGCCCUGCUUUUGUGGGGUGCUCGAGUGGCGAACGGGUGAGUAACACGUGAGUAACCUGCCCUUGACUUUGGGAUAACUUCAGGAAACUGGGGCUACUACCGGAUUGGAGCUCCUGCUGCAUGGUGGGGGUUGGACAGUUUCGGCGGUUGGGGCUGGACUCGCGGCUUAUCAGCUUGUUGGUGGGGUAGUGGCUUACCAAGGCUUUGACGGGUAGCCGGCCUGAGAGGGUGGCCGGCCACAUGGGGACUGAGAGACGGCCCAGACUCCAACGGGAGGCAGCAGUGGGGAAUAUUGCACAAUGGGCGGAAGCCUGAUGCAGCAACGCCGCGUGCGGGAUGACGGCCUUCGGGUUGUAAACCGCAUUCGCCUGUGACGAAGCGGGAGUGACGGUAAUGGGAAAAGAAGCACCGGCUAACUACGUG